AGCGAACGCUGGCGGCAGGCCUAACACAUGCAAGUCGAACGAACUCUUCGGAGUUAGUGGCGGACGGGUGAGUAACACGUGGGAACGUGCCUUUUGGUUCGGAAUAACUCAGGGAAACUUGUGCUAAUACCGAAUGUGCCCUUCGGGGGAAAGAUUUAUCGCCAUUAGAGCGGCCCGCGUCUGAUUAGCUAGUUGGUGAGGUAACGGCUCACCAAGGCGACGAUCAGUAGCUGGUCUGAGAGGAUGACCAGCCACACUGGGACUGAGACACGGCCCAGACUCCUACGGGAGGCAGCAGUGGGGAAUCUUGCGCAAUGGGAGAGAGCCUGACGCAGCCAUGCCGCGUGAAUGAAGAAGGUCUUAGGAUUGUAAAAUUCUUUCACCGGGGACGAUAAUGACGGUACCCGGAGAAGAAGCCCCGGCUAACUUCGUG
rnacentral:rRNA from 1 species